rnacentral:rRNA from 1 species
CGGGUCUGAGAGGAUGAUCCGCCACACUGGGACUGAGACACGGCCCAGUGUGGGGGACAACAUCUCGAAAGGGAUGCUAAUACCGCAUACGUCCUACGGGAGAAAGCAGGGGACCUUCGGGCCUUGCGCUAAUAGAUGAGCCUAAGUCGGAUUAGCUAGUUGGUGGGGUAAAGGCCUACCAAGGCGACGAUCUGUAGCGGGUCUGAGAGGAUGAUCCGCCACACUGGGACUGAGACACGGCCCAGACUCCUACGGGAGGCAGCAGUGGGGAAUAUUGCGCAAUGGGGGGAACCCUGACGCAGCGACGCCGCGUGCGGGAUGGAGGCCUUCGGGUUGUGAACCGCUUUUGGUAAGGAGCAAGCGAGAGUGAGUGUACUUAUCGAAUAAGGACCGGCUAACUACGUGCCAGCAGCCGCGGUAAUACGUAGGGUCCAAGCGCUGUCCGGAAUUAUUGGGCGUAAAGGGCUCGUAGGCGGCCUGUCGCGUCUGGUGUGAAAGCCCGUGGCUUAACUGCGGGUCUGCGCUGGAUACGGGCGGGCUAGAGUGCGGUAGGGGAGAAUGGAAUUCCCGGUGUAACGGCGGAAUGUGUAGAUAUCGGGAAGAACACCAAUGGCGAAGGCAGUUCUCUGGGCCGUGACUGACGCUGAGGAGCGAAAGCGUGGGGAGCGAACAGGAUUAGAUACCCUGGUAGUCCACGCUGUAAACGGUGGACGCUGGAUGUGGGGCCCAUUCCACGGGUUCCGUGUCGGAGCUAACGCGUUAAGCGUCCCGCCUGGGGAGUACGGCCGCAAGGCUAAAACUCAAAGAAAUUGACGGGGGGCCCGCACAAGCGUCGCCGUGACUGACGCUGAGGAGCGAAAGCGU